rnacentral:rRNA from 1 species
GAAUGUNGGAGAGGUAGAUGGAAUUUCUGGUGUAGGGGUAAAUUCCGUAGAUAUUAGAAGGAAUACCGAUUGCGAAGGCGAUCUACUGGAACACUAUUGACGCUGAGACGCGAAAGCGUGGGGAGCAAACAGGAUUAGAUACCCUGGUAGUCCACGCCCUAAACGAUGUACACUAGUUGUUGUGAGGCUAGACCUUGCAGUAAUGCAGUUAACACAUUAAGUGUACCGCCUGGGGAGUACGGUCGCAAGAUUAAAACUCAAAGGAAUAGACGGGGACCCGCACAAGCGGUGGAGCAUGUGGUUUAAUUCGACGAUACGCGAAGAACCUUACCUGGUCUUGACAUAGAAAGAAUCCUUUAGAGAUAGAGGAGUGUCUGCUUGCAGAAACUUUCAUACAGGUGCUGCACGGCUGUCGUCAGCUCGUGUCGUGAGAUGUUGGGUUAAGUCCCGCAACGAGCGCAACCCUCGUCGUUAGUUGCUAACAGUUCGGCUGAGAACUCUAACGAGACUGCCUACGCAAGUAGGAGGAAGGUGAGGACGACGUCAAGUCAUCAUGGCCCUUACGACCAGGGCUACACACGUGCUACAAUGGGGCAUACAAAGAGCAGCAAUACAGUGAUGUGGAGCGAAUCUCAAAAAUGCCUCCCAGUUCGGAUAGUAGUCUGCAACUCGACUACUUGAAGUUGGAAUCGCUAGUAAUCGUAGAUCAGCUAUGCUACGGUGAAUACGUUCCCGGGUCUUGUACUCACCGCCCGUCACACCAUGGGAGUUGAAUUCAUUCGAAGCGGGGAUGCUAAAAUAGCUACCUUCCACAGUGGAUUUAGCGACUGGGGUGAAGUCGUAACAAGGUAA